UGGGGAAUUUUGGACAAUGGGGGAAACCCUGAUCCAGCCAUCCCGCGUGUGCGAUGAAGGCCUUCGGGUUGUAAAGCACUUUUGGCAGGAAAGAAACGUCAUGGGUUAAUACCCCGUGAGACUGACGGUACCUGCAGAAUAAGCACCGGCUAACUACGUGCCAGCAGCCGCGGUAAUACGUAGGGUGCAAGCGUUAAUCGGAAUUACUGGGCGUAAAGCGUGCGCAGGCGGUUCGGAAAGAAAGAUGUGAAAUCCCAGAGCUCAACUUUGGAACUGCAUUUUUAACUACCGGGCUAGGGGGUGUCAGAGGGAGGUGGAAUUCCGCGUGUAGCAGUGAAAUGCGUAGAUAUGCGGAGGAACACCGAUGGCGAAGGCAGCCUCCUGGGAUAACACUGACGCUCAUGCACGAAAGCGUGGGGAGCAAACAGG
rnacentral:rRNA from 1 species